UACGUAGGGGGCAAGCGUUGUCCGGAUUUAUUGGGCGUAAAGAGCGUGUAGGCGGUUUGGUAGGUCCGCUGUGAAAACUCGAGGCUCAACCUCGAGACGCCGGUGGAAACCAUCAGACUAGAGUCCGGAAGAGGAGAGUGGAAUUCCUGGUGUAGCGGUGAAAUGCGCAGAUAUCAGGAGGAACACCGGUGGCGAAGGCGGGUCUCUGGGCCGAUACUGACACUGAGGAGCGAAAGCGUGGGGAGCGAACAGG
rnacentral:rRNA from 1 species